CCCGCCGCCUACUGAAAUUGUUGCCCAAUUUACUUAUGUGUUCCUUUAUACUUUGGCAAGUACACAUAGUUUCUGGUUGUUUUUGUUUGUUUGUUUACCUUUUAUAAAUACAUAUUUAAAAAGAACAUAUUAAAAAAAUUUUUUUAAUGUUUAUUUAAAAAAAAUUUUUUUUUAACGUUUAUUUAUUUUUGAGACAGAGAGAGACAGAGCAUGAACAGGGGAGGGGCAGAGAGAGAGGGAGACACAGAAUCUGAAACAGGCUCCAGGCCCUGAGCUGUCAGCACAGAGCCCGACGCGGGGCUCGAACUCACAGGCCGUGAGAUCAUGAUCUGAGCCGAAGUCGGACGCUUAACCGACCAAGCCACCCAGGCGCCCCUAAUGUUUAUUUUUGAGAGACAGAGUCAAAGCAUGAGCGGGUGAGGGGCAGAGAGAGAGGGAGACACCUAAUCGGAAGCAGACUCCAGGCUGUGAGUUGUCAGCACAGAGCCUGACACGGGGCUCGAACUCACAAACUGUGAGAAUCAUGACCUGAGCUGCAGUCGGAUGCCCAACAGACUGAGCCACCCAGACGCCCCAAGAAUAACAUCUUACAGUAAAAUCAAGGAAAGGCCUAAGGCGUCUGAGAGCUUUUUUUCAGUAGCAUGAAGGAAAACGGUUGCCAGCAAGAACUGUGGCAAGGUUAUCUAAGGUGACAACUGUCUCUACCACUCAGGGGCUCGAGGCCCUUCUGAAGCUUCCUGGUUGUCCAGAACAGCUCCACUCUGCCUCACCAUUAGCCUGUGCUGUAGCACUCAACAUUUAAAAGUUCGUCUUCAUUUCUCCUUCCUAGCAGGCAGCUUCAGUUGGAGAAAGUAAUUUCACUUUUUCAUCUACUCAUUCAUUCACUUAAUCCAUAGACCUGUGCUUGAUUGUAGGAAUGAGAAAAGAAUAAAAUAUGGUUCCUUCAAGCACUUAAGGAACUGAUAAACUAGUGAUAGAGGACGUUGCACAAACAAAUCAAUAAAGAGUUAAUAAUACUUUGACUUUAUUUGAAUUAUUUGAAUUUUUAUGAAUAUACUAAUAUACUACACCCCACUUGAAAUAGACAUUUAAAAAAGAACUAGAGGAUGUAAGAAAUACACUGUAGCGUGUACGUUAUUUAGAGAGUUAACACUGGAGGUAUUUGCAUUCUCAAAGAAGCUUAUUAAGGCAAAUGAACCUCUUAUUGUUUUAUUUGCUUAUAAAAUUUACAGAAGUAUGUAUAUUCCUUCUUCUAACAGGGGUUAGUAACUUGCGGGGGGUGGGUGCUGCUGAUUCAGGUCCUACUCAGGUCCAUGUUAUCUGCUCUUGAGGUCAUAUUCUCAAACAGGAGCUACGGGAUGAGACAGCAAAAAGUUUACUUCCCUUGCUUACCCACAGCCCUAUAAUUUGCUUCCAGAGGGCUUCCUUAGUUGCUUUCAUCAUCACUUUCAAUAUCAGAGAUCACGGAAAGCCGAUUAAUCAAGGGCCCUGGAAAUGAUGCAUCAAAGUCUAUAGCGUAAAAAUAGUACAUAGCGUUUAUUUAGGGUUUAUUAGGGGCUGAUUUCUUAAAAUGUUUCCAGUUUGAGCUUCACAACCUCUCUAUGAAAUAGGUAUUGAUAAAUCUCAGGUGUAUCCAAAGGAAGCCUCUGUGUCAGGUUAUGAUAUUUUCAGGUCUAUUUCUUAUGUCUUUAGGUUCGUCUUGGCACCAAACAUAAGGCGGUUCAACAUCAGGCCCUUGCCCUAAACAGCUCCCAGUGCCAAGAACUGGCAAAUUAUUACUUUGGUUUCAAUGGAUGGUCAAAAAGGAUCAUCAAGAGGUGGUGUUGCCAUCCUAUGAGUGCCGGAGUCCCGGAGCUGGCAUGGCCGAGGAGACUUUGGAUGACCUGGAGGAAGGGCCAUUAUCAUUUCUUAUGAAAAGGAGGACAACCCAGAAGCUUGCUAUUCAGAAGGCUGUGUCAGAUGCAUUCCAGAAGCUGUUGAUUGUGAUUUUAGAAAGUGGUAAAAUAGCUGUGGAAUACAGACCCUGUGAAGAGAUCACAGAUGCCAGUACUGAAGACGAGCUGCAGGAUUUAAUUCAAGUAUGUGGAGAUUAAAGUUCAAGGGUGACAUAGCCACUGUAGCCAUAAUGUAAAGCAACCAGCAGAAUUUGGAAGACUUUGGCAUUAGCUCUAUCAUCCUUUGGGAAAUGUGAAACUCAGAAACUGCUUUUGACUGCAGGGGAUUUCUGGGGCUUUUCCUGAAGUCCUGACCCUUAGCUCUGACCCCUUAAUUGAAAUUUGGAGAGCAAAUUUCAUCAGAGCACUCCCACAGUUGUGGACAUAGGAGAGGACACAAGCCUUUUAGAGCUCCCCUCAAACAGAAUCUCAAGGAUUUGGGAACAGAGUAACUAUGGCCUUACAUGUGAUUAUACUACAGCGUUUGAAACCAUUAUGCCAUUCAAAUAGGAUGUAUCACCCAGAUGUCGGCAUCUCAUAUAUAUCUUGCGUGAAUAUCUUGCUGAAGAACUUUUCUGUAAAUCACUCACAUGGAUGUCCUGAAUUAGGGAUUAAGUUGCCAAAAUAAUUUCUAAAAGAAAAUACUAACGUGCCACAUACAGAAUGUUAAAAAAAAAAAAAGGAGCAAAAAUGUGUUUCAUGUCAUUGAGAGCUUAAUUUGGGGCUAGAUUUGUGAAUUUUUUUUUUCAAAAUUUUUUUUUAAUGUUUAUUUAUUUUUGAGAGUGAGAAAGAGCGUGAGCUGGGGAGGGGCAGAGAGAGAGGGAGACGCAGAAUCUGAAGCAGGCUCCAGGCUCGGAGCUGUCAGCACAGAGCCCGGCGCGGGGCUCGAACUCACAGACUGCGAGAUCAUGACCUGAGCCGAAAUCAGGCACUCAGCCAGCUGAGCCACCCAGCCGCCCCUAGAUUUCUGAAUAUUUAACUCACCCCACAGUUGCAAAGUUUGUUUUGAAGGGAAGAGAGUGGAGAAAGAGAAGAUGGUUACUUUCUGAAAAAGCACUGGAAGAUUUUUCGUGCAAAAUAAUAAUGUUAAUUGAAUCUAAAUCAAACCAGUCGAGGAAACUUCAGACGUUUCCAAGUUUAGGCUUUAAGCAGUCUCGCUUCCUGGGUUGCCUGGGUGGCUCCAUAGGUUGAGCAUCCGACUCUUGAUUUUGGCUCAGGUCACGAUCCCAGAGUUUGUGGGGUCAGCCCCACGUCGGGCUCUGUGCUGAGCGUGGAGCCUACUUGGGAUUCUCUCUGUCUCUCCCUCUGUCCCUCUCCUCCGCUCACACUUUCUCUCUCUCAGGAAAAAAAGAAUUAAAAAAAAAAGGUCUAGCUUCCUGAAAAAGGUGAAAAGAUGAGAAAAAGAUUCAGCAUUGAUGCUAAAGAUUUCAGAAACCUGAUUAUAACAACAGAUCCAUUCCUGCAUGAGGCCAGUCUUGGAAUCAGUUCCAUAUAAACACUAUUCCUGUGUGCUAGACAUUGGGAUUAAGAUAAAAACCCCCUCUCUCUUGCAUUUUACAUGCUAGAGGUUGUGCCAGACCAUAAGCAAGGACUAAAAAUACAUUAGAAAAGGGGCUGUGAAGGAAGUAAACUGAGUGCUAGUUACAGUAUUUCAAGAAAAUUGUUUAACACGCUGACUUUAACAUCCUAAGUGCCUUCUCCAUGUGGGCGCACAGAGUGGACCUCUGAAAAGUGGCCUUGUUACUUUUUCUAGAUCAAUGGCUAUGUCCAGUCAAGAUGAGAUGGGGGAAGUUUUCCCACCCCGUGUAAAUAAAGGGCUAGAAUUGGUUUCCGGCCCUCUUUCCCAGAAUGAAUUGCUCAGCACUCCCCCAAAC